rnacentral:rRNA from 1 species
AAAAACAUAGCUUUUUGUAAAUGUAAAAGGUGAUGUCUGCCCAAUGAAUUUUGAAUGGCCAUGGUAUUUUAUGACUUAUGCAAAGGUAGCAUAAUCAUUUUGUCUUAUAAAUUAAGACUAGAAUGAAUGGAUUAAUGGGGUAAUUUCUUUCUUAAAUUAAAGUUUAAAAUUAAUUUUUUUAGUGAAGAAACUAAAAUAAUUAUGAGGGACGAGAAGACCCUAUUAAGCUUAAUAUAAUUAUUUUAUUGGGGAAAUAAAAGAAAAAAAUUUCUUUUUUGAUUUUAUUGAUAAAUAAUGAUUUAUUAUUAAUAAUAAUAGAAUAAGUUACUAUAGGGAUAACAGCAUAAUUUUUUUUAAAAGUUCUUAUUGACAAUAAAGAUUAUGACCUCGAUGUUGGAUUAUAAAUAUUAUAUGAUGAAGGUUGUUGUAUAAAUUAGUCUGGUUCGACUAUUAAAUUUUUACAUGAUCUGA